CUUUCGUUUCUUACCAACACAGAUUCUGAUGAUUUGUGUGUGUGUGUGAGUUUGGAAAGAACGUUCAACGAGCUGCUGCAAUAGAAUUAACAAAAAUUUGUGGGAAAAAGCUUAUUUUCGUAAACAAGGGACAGCGAGCGUGGCGGCGUACCAACAACAGGUGACAGUGGCUCGUACGGAGGUGGCGGGGGAGAAGAUGGCGACGGUGUCGGGGAGUGUGGCUGCCUCGAAAGUAGAUCCGGAUCGAGGUCGAGGAUUCUCAGAACUGUUUGAGAAUUCGCUCGGACCCAGGAUUCGAACAAGUCUACGGGCCAGUCGGUUUGCGUGGACGCGUCUAACAUUCUCCUCGGUGGAUCCCAGCAUAUAGCAUCCGGCGGAUGGGACGAGCUUCUCGCCAAAACUCCGCUCCCACGACUCGCGGGGGUUGGUAAAUUCGGAUUACUUUGAGGCGAACACGCUAAUAUUUGUAGAGCUUGUAUGGCAUUUCUCACCUAUUUUUAUUCAUUUAUUUUUUUUUUUUUUUGUGAAAUACCAAGUGUCAAUAAUUUUCUUUUCCUUUUUUUUAAUUUUCAUGAGAGAUGAAAUAGUCUGUUGUUUCUUUACCUCGCAACUCAACGUGGCUACGUCCUGAUGCAACGUGGAAAAUUGGGUGUCCAACCGUUCCACGGAUCCACGGAUGUGCUCUUCCAUCGAUUCUUGGGCGAUCACCUGAGCCGCCCUCCCCCUCACUAAAACACCCCUCGCAGGCCUCCUUGCCUCCCGAUACUCGUCCCUGCAAACAAGGGGACAACGUAAAUUUACCUGAAUUUGGCGUGUCUCGGGCUCGAAGACGUGUGCAAAGGUGAUUUGUUGGGCGGUGAAAGGGGCGACGUCUCCCCUUCGUCAGGCACGUUUUCGUCGUCCUCGCUGAUUGAGGUAGGUUAACGCUUUAACGUCGCAACUCGAUUUCACCACGACAUCCGCGGCACCUCCUCCGCCCGCCCCGCCUCCGUUACUCGUGUGCUGCAGGUGGACGUUUAUGUCGCAGCCUACCAGAUCACCUUUACCUUCGAAUUCAAAUUUGCGAAAGCUCAAAUUUCCAACCAGGCGUCGAAAAAGUAAAAUGGAGAUAAGAAAUGGUGUACUUGAUAAACUCGUUUACCUAAGAUGGCAACGACCAUGUUAUUUUGGACAACUUCCAUGGAACCGUUGCACAGGUAAUAUAUGUAAGAGAGGGCGUCCCCUUUGUGAACUAAAAACUCGCCGGGGGCGCAAAAAUUAUUUUUAAUACGGAGGGAUAGCAAUUUGAGACAGCCCUGGGAAGCGGGCUCGAAUAUAGCUCCUCUGGAAAUUGUUUCAGGGUCUGAAAAAACGUGGACUCCCGUCGAUAAUCGAAUAAUAAACUGGAUGGUUAAAUUAUGGACAACAACAAUAUGUGUGGGUGGAGAAUUAAGGUUGCGUAAUCGUGAUUAAUUGUUAUAAUACUAAUUUAUACACUCACCUCGUGUAUAUCGAUACCGUGAUUCAAGGACCACAUAGUUUGGAAAUAGUCUUGCAUACGUUGUUUCAGUUCUUCGGGGAUCUGAUGCAAUACGAAAAAAUCCUUGAGAUCCCGCAAUUUUGUUUGGUAUAGAGAUCUUCUAGAGUAAAUUCUUUGAAUAAUUGCAGUCACGUUACCAAAGACCACGGCAUGCAUCAGAGCUGUAGCAUACACGAUAUGUACAAUGUGGAAAUAAUUCCAAUAUUCGUUGAUCGAAAGAGAAAG